GCCUUCGUGGUGUAAUGGGCAGCACAAUCAGCACGUAUUCGAGAGGUUCAGGUUCGAAUCCCGGCGAGGGCA
rnacentral:tRNA from 1 species